rnacentral:rRNA from 1 species
AUUGAACGCUGGCGGCAGGCCUAACACCUGCAAGUAGAGCGGAACGGCGGACGGGUGAGUAAUGCCUAGGAAUCUGACUGGUAGUGGGGGCUAACGUCCGGAAACGGGCGCUAAUACCGCAUACUAUCAGAUAAGCCUAGGUCGGAUUAGCUGGUUGUGGGGGUAAAGGCCUACCAAGGCGACGAUCCGGAAAUGGUCUGAGAGGAUGAUCAGUCACACGGGAACUGAGACACGGUCCAGACUCCUACGGUAGGCAGCAGUGGGGAAUAUUGGACAAUGGGCGAAAGCCUGAUCCAGCCAUUCCGCGUGUGUGAAGAAGGUCUUCGGAUUGUAAAGCACUUUAAGUUGGGAGGCGUUACCAACAGAAUAAGCACCGGCUAACUUCGUGCCAGCAGCCGCGGUAAUAC